rnacentral:pre_miRNA from 1 species
CACAUACUCCCUCUGUCCGGAAUUAUUUGUCGUAGAAAUGGAUGUAUCUAUACAUAUUUUUAGUUCUAGAUACAUCCAUUUCUGUGACAAGUAAUUCGGGAUGGAGGGAGUAUUUG